GUGCCAGCCGCCGCGGUAACACGGGGGGAGCAAACGUUGUUCGGAAUCACUGGGCGUAAAGGGCGCGUAGGCGGCCUCGUAAGUGGUGUGUGAAAUGCCCUGGCUCAACCAGGGAAUUGCGCUCCAAACUGCGGGGCUUGAGGGCAGUAGAGGAAGCUGGAAUUCCAGGUGUAGCGGUGAAAUGCGUAGAUAUCUGGAGGAACACCGUUGGCGAAGGCGAGCUUCUGGGCUGUCUCUGACGCUGAGGCGCGAAAGCUGGGGGAGCAAACAGGAUUAGAAACCCUUGUAGUCC
rnacentral:rRNA from 1 species